GAUGAACGCUGGCGGCGUGCCUAAUACAUGCAAGUCGAGCGAACAGACGAGGAGCUUGCUCCUCUGACGUUAGCGGCGGACGGGUGAGUAACACGUGGAUAACCUACCUAUAAGACUGGGAUAACUUCGGGAAACCGGAGCUAAUACCGGAUAACAUGUUGAACCGCAUGGUUCAACAGUGAAAGACGGUCUUGCUGUCACUUAUAGAUGGAUCCGCGCCGCAUUAGCUAGUUGGUAAGGUAACGGCUUACCAAGGCAACGAUGCGUAGCCGACCUGAGAGGGUGAUCGGCCACACUGGAACUGAGACACGGUCCAGACUCCUACGGGAGGCACAAGUAGGGAAUCUUCCGCAAUGGGCGAAAGCCUGACGGAGCAACGCCGCGUGAGUGAAGAAGGUCUUCGGAUCGUAAAACUCUGUUAUUAGGGAAGAACAAAUGUGUAAGUAACUAUGCACGUCUUGACGGUACCUAAUCAGAAAGCCACGGCUAACUACGUG
rnacentral:rRNA from 1 species